GUCAGCUCGUGUCGUGAGAUGUGGUUAAGUCCCGCACGAGCGCAACCCCUAUUGUUAGUUGCCAUCAUUCAGUUGGGCACUCUAGCGAGACUGCCGGUAAUAAACCGGAGGAAGGUGGGGAUGACGUCAAAUCAUCAUGCCCCUUAUGACCUGGGCUACACACGUGCUACAAUGGUUGGUACAACGAGUUGCGAGUCGGUGACGGCGAGCUAAUCUCUUAAAGCCAAUCUCAGUUCGGAUUGUAGGCUGCAACUCGCCUACAUGAAGUCGGAAUCGCUAGUAAUCGCGGAUCAGCACGCCGCGGUGAAUACGUUCCCGGGCCUU
rnacentral:rRNA from 1 species